ACUCCUGCGGGAGGCAGCAGUGGGGAAUAUUGGACAAUGGGCGCAAGCCUGAUCCAGCCAUGCCGCGUGAGUGAUGAAGGCCCUAGGGUUGUAAAGCUCUUUCACCGGUGAAGAUAAUGACGGUAACCGGAGAAGAAGCCCCGGCUAACUUCGUGCCAGCAGCCGCGGUAAUACGAAGGGGGCUAGCGUUGUUCGGAUUUACUGGGCGUAAAGCGCACGUAGGCGGACUAUUAAGUCAGGGGUGAAAUCCCGGGGCUCAACCCCGGAACUGCCUUGAUACUGGUAGUCUUGAGUUCGAGAGAGGUGAGUGGAAUUCCGAGUGUAGAGGUGAAAUUCGUAGAUAUUCGGAGGAACACCAGUGGCGAAGGCGGCUCACUGGCUCGAUACUGACGCUGAGGUGCGAAAGCGUGGGGAGCAAACAGGAUUAGAAACCCUAGUAGUCCCAUGAU
rnacentral:rRNA from 1 species